AGCGAACGCUGGCGGCAGGCUUAACACAUGCAAGUCGAGCGGGCAUCCAUGUGGUGUCAGCGGCAGACGGGUGAGUAACGCGGGGGAACGUGCCCUUCGGUUCGGAAUAACUUUGGGUAACUUGAGCCAAUACCGGAUACGCGCGAGAGCAGCAAGGGUUAUCUGACUGAGGAUCGGCCCGCGUCUGAUUAGCUAGUUGGUGAGGUUACGGCUCACCAAGGCGACGAUCAGUAGCUGGUCUGAGAGGAUGAUCAGCCACACUAGGGCUGGGACACGGCCCAGACUCCUACGGGAGGCAGCAGUGGGGGAUAUUGGAAAAUGGGGGCAACCCUGAUCCCGCCAUGCCGCGUGAGUGAUGACGGCCUUAGGGUUGUAAAGCUCUUUUAUCCGGGACGAUAAUGACGGUACCGGAGGAAUAAGCCCCGGCUAACUUCGUG
rnacentral:rRNA from 1 species